GAAAGGGAUAAUGAAGGAGAGGGCUCCAGAACUCACUAAAGUGGAAUUAGGAGUCAGCAAAUAGCCUAUUAAAGAAUGGAAAGUGGAUUAAUCAGUGAAAAGCCAGCACUUUUAUCAAAAGAGUCUGGAGAUAAAGUAAGAAAUUCAAAAGGUAAAGCGCUUUGCAAAGAACAUUAAAACUUCUAGUUGCCAGGUACAAACAGACUACGGAAAACUAGGGCUUUUGUGCACUGGGGUUGUGAUAUGGUCCCCAAACUAAAUGAAUACUUGCUAAAUUGAAUUAGGAGAUCGUGCAAAGGAAGAAUAACUGAAAGGAACGAGGGAAUAAAGAUAAUAAGGGUGAAGUACAAAUGUGCACUCAGGCCAAGAGACUAGCCACUCUCUACCUGAAGCAUAAAAUUUCAAAUUUAUCACCAGCAUAGGACUAAUGAUAGUGUGCAAGGUGGGAUGAGAGCUGAAACUCUCCAAGAAAGAUGGAAGAGGUGUAGAGAAGAGCUACUAAAAUUCUACUUUCUAGGAAGAAAACCAAAAGCUGAUCUUAAAUAAGCCAUUUUGUCUGCAAUUGAGCAUGGUGUUACCAUUCUAGUUGGGAACUUGGUUCUUUCGUUCAGAAAUCUUCUCCAGGUCAGUUAAAGGGAAGAAACCAUUUUCAUCUCUUCCACUCAAAAUGUUCAGACUGCAGGAAUGCAUAUAUCUCAAAAUCACUUCCAGUUACUAUUGUGAUGACAUCUGAGAGUAGUGCUAAGGAGUAAGAGAUUCAUAUCAUGUGGUUGUAGACUUGAAUCCUGCGAUGGCAAUCCUCAUGUAAACCAUCUGUUAACACUUGGGGAAAAAAAAUGUGCAGUAUAUUCAACAGUGAUCCAUGGGUUACAUGAAAGUUCACGUAUGACCCAAUAGUGUCAGCCAGAAAUUUUCUCUUCAUAUCAUUGAACAAUUUGAGGUACAAGCAUAUCCACCACUUGCUUUAAAUUGAAAUUCUGUUCCUAAUGGAAGUCUUUUAACAAAGGGAGCUCCUGUUCAUCUGAAGACAGAGAAGAGACAUGGGAAAGGAGAAUAAGGAAGGAGCAUUGAAGCUAAGAUUAGUGGAAUUUCCUAGAAUCGGAAGAGAGAAGACAGUGUUGUAAAAAUGCAAAGGUUGUCAAAUGCUGAAGGAACAGAUGAUCAUGGGAUUUGGACAGAAGAGAGUAGCAUGUCUUGUAAAAGGAAAAUCCAGCUUCCCUGGAUGACUACAUGAAGAGAAAGGAAACUGACUGAACAAGAAAUGGCCUAUUUAUAGAAAUAACAGCUAGAUGCCUCUCUGGAGAGGAAAAAAAUAUGAACAGACUUCUUGGAGGACACUGUGCUCAAGAAUUAUUUUGGAAAUGCAUGUAUUGUUUUCACUUUGUCUAGAGUUCUGUUUUAGCUACAGCAAUAAAACUGGAAAGUAAUUUGAAUGAAAAAUUUAAGUUAGAUUUCAUCUUUAAUUUAUGACAGCUACCUCUGAUUUAGUAGCAGUUUUAUGCAGUAUUUCUGGGAUUAGCUGUAAUUUGACCAAACAUAGCUGUCUACUUUAGGAUGAGAUGAGUUGUACCUUACAAGCAUGUAUUUUUCUCUGCUGUUUUUCAAGGGAGACAUACUUUCAGUUCUGCAAGUCUGUCUCCUUUUAGCAGUUGUAUGUCCAACCCACUGUAAGAUGUUAGCAAAACUUUUUGUUUAUUGUGACUUAAGGUGGAGAAAAGAUAUCAAUUUAAAUGUUACAUCUCUUGGUAUGAUAUACUUAAAAUUCUCAGCCUUCUAGUACCCAUUAUGAACACCACAGGCUUUGAGAACACAGUGUGGUAUAAAUGGUUUCCCAAAGUGAUUAAGCAGGUUCCUCACCUUGCACAAGCAAGCUUGAUACUCCAUAGAGGCUGCACUGAGGUUAGGGCCAUUAUUUAACAGGUCCUCCUGAGCCAGAUGAGAGCUUCAUCAAAGUGGAAACUGAAUUGAUGAUUCAAUAUCUAGCUGAAUAGGAAAAAGUCUUAGCCUUUAGCUGAGGACAGAAACAUAAAUACAACAAAAGAAUGUUGAAGAGAAACAACCUUUUUUGAUUUAUACUAUCAUUGUAACAGUGCUCUGCAGGUAUAGCCAUGGCGUAAACAGGCUAUUUAAAUGCACCAGAAGCUAAAAAUUAACUGUAAUAAGUUUUUACAUGAAUAAGUGAAAGAGAUUUUGCUCUGUUUAAGUAGUAUACAAAUAAAAGUGUCCUCUGUUCCAGGGCAGCAGUAUCUUUCAAAGGAUGAAAAGAUAUUCAAAAUAGC